AAUCAACGCUGGCGGCGUGCCUCAGACAUGCAAGUCGAACGAUUAAAGCUCUCUUCGGAGAGUGUAUAGAGUGGCGCACGGGUGAGUAACACGUAAGUAAUCUACCCUCGAGUGGGGAAUAACAACCGGAAACGGUUGCUAAUACCGCAUAAUGCAGCGGCACCGCAAGGUGACAGUUGUUAAAGAUUUAUCGCUUGAGGAGGAGCUUGCGGCAGAUUAGCUAGUUGGUAGGGUAACGGCUUACCAAGGCUACGAUCUGUAACCGGUCUAAGAGGACGGUCGGUCACACUGACACUGAAUAACGGGUCAGACUCCUACGGGAGGCAGCAGUCGGAAUUUUGGGCAAUGGGCGAAAGCCUGACCCAGCAACGCCGCGUGAAGGAUGAAGUAUUUCGGUAUGUAAACUUCGAAAGAAUAAGG
rnacentral:rRNA from 1 species